rnacentral:lncRNA from 1 species
CUUUGUUGCCUGGUCUUUUCCUUAUUUUGUUAAUGCCUUUCUCCAAACAGCAUCCUACUUCCCCAUCUCUCUCAAUCUCAUGAGUUCACACUGGGGCAAGCAGUCCACGAUAAUCUCUUCUCUUCCUUGUGUAAGCUUAGUAAAGCACUUCUAGAACCUCUCUGGCUUAUCGCUUUCUUAUUAUUUACUUGCCUUAUCCAAAAUGAAGUUGAGCUAAAGUCAGCAUCUUCUUUUCUAGUGGUUGUAGCUCUUGUUUAUUGUUUUCCUACGGCAUCAACCGGACUAGGAACUGCUGGCCUAGUUGGAACUAAGCUCAAAAGUAACAAGGUUUUGAAAGAAAGACAAGCCUUGAAGAAGACAUAAAUGGUGUGACAACAAAGAUUGAUCCCCAUACUUAUCCUGAUCCAGUGGGAGAGGAAAGCAAAGAAGAAGAC